rnacentral:rRNA from 1 species
UACGGAGGGAGCUAGCGUUGUUCGGAAUUACUGGGCGUAAAGUGCACGUAGGCGGCUUUGUAAGUUAGAGGUGAAAGCCCGGGGCUCAACCCCGGAAUUGCCUUUAAGACUGCAUCGCUAGAAUUGUGGAGAGGUAAGUGGAAUUCCGAGUGUAGAGGUGAAAUUCGUAGAUAUUCGGAAGAACACCAGUGGCGAAGGCGACUUACUGGACACAUAUUGACGCUGAGGUGCGAAAGCGUGGGGAGCAAACAGG